rnacentral:misc_RNA from 1 species
GAUGAAGAACGUAGUGAAAUGCGAUAAGUAAUGUGAAUUGCAGAAUUCAGUGAAUCAUCGAAUCUUUGAACGCAUCUUGCGCUCCUUGGUAUUCCGAGGAGCAUGCCUGUUUGAGUGUCAUCAAGUUCUCAAACUGCAUCCAUUUGAAGGGUGUGGAUUUGGAUUAUGGAGUUUGCAGGCUCUUUGAUUGAGGUCUGCUCCUCUGAAAUGUAUUAGUGGCGAUGUGGAAAAGCUACUGUGGGUGUGAUAAAUAUCUAUGCCUUAUGCAGUGUUCUGCUAUGCCGCUUGCAGGGAGAAAUUUCAUUUUUGACAAACGUGACCUCAAAUCAGGUAGGACUACCCGCUGAACUUAAGCAUAUCAAUAAGCGGAGGA